GACGAACGCUGGCGGCGUGCCUAAUACAUGCAAGUCGAACGAGAGCGCCCGGUGCUUGCACUGGUCAAUCUAGCGGCGAACGGGUGAGUAACACGUGGGUAACCUGCCCAUCAGAGGGGGAUAACAUCCGGAAACGGAUGCUAAAACCGCAUAGGUCUUCGAACCGCAUGGUUUGAAGAGGAAAAGAGGCGCAAGCUUCUGCUGAUGGAUGGACCCGCGGUGCAUUAGCUAGUUGGUGAGGUAACGGCUCACCAAGGCCGUGAUGCAUAGCCGACCUGAGAGGGUGAUCGGCCACAUUGGGACUGAGACACGGCCCAAACUCCUACGGGAGGCAGCAGUAGGGAAUCUUCCGCAAUGGACGCAAGUCUGACGGAGCAACGCCGCGUGAGUGAAGAAGGUUUUCGGAUCGUAAAACUCUGUUGUUAGAGAAGAACAAGUGCUAGAGUAACUGUUAGCGCCUUGACGGUAUCUAACCAGAAAGCCACGGCUAACUACGUG
rnacentral:rRNA from 1 species